UUUCCCGGUUGAUCCUGCCGGACCUGACUGCUAUCGGAUUGAUACUAAGCCAUGCGAGUCAUUGUAGUAAUACAAGGCAGACGGCUCAGUAACGCGUAGUCAACCUACCCUAUGGACGGGAAUAACCUCGGGAAACUGAGAAUAAUGCCCGAUAGAACACUAUACCUGGAAUGGUUUGUGUUCCAAAUGAUUUAUCGCCAUAGGAUGGGACUGCGGCCUAUCAGUUUGUUGGUGAGGUAAUGGCCCACCAAGACUAUUACAGGUACGGGCUCUGAGAGGAGUAGCCCGGAGAUGGGUACUGAGACACGGACCCAGGCCCUAUGGGGCGCAGCAGGCGAGAAAACUUUGCAAUGUGCGAAAGCACGACAAGGUUAAUCCGAGUGGUUUCUGCUAAAGGAACCUUUUGUCAGUCCUAGAAACACUGGUGAAUAAGGGGUGGGCAAGUUCUGGUGUCAGCCGCCGCGGUAAAACCAGCACCUCAAGUGGUCAGGAUGAUUAUUGGGCCUAAAGCAUCCGUAGCCUGCUUUGUUAGUUUUCGGUUAAAUCCAUACGCUUAACGUAUGGGCUGCCGGGAAUACUGCAAAGCUAGGGAGUGGGAGAGGUAGACGGUACUCGGUAGGAAGGGGUAAAAUCCUUUGAUCUAUUGAUGACCACCUGUGGCGAAGGCGGUCUACCAGAACACGUCCGACGGUGAGGGAUGAAAGCUGGGGGAGCAAACCGGAUUAGAUACCCGGGUAGUCCCAGCUGUAAACUAUGCAAACUCGGUGAUGCAUUGGCUUGAUGCCAAUGCAGUGCCGCAGGGAAGCCGUUAAGUUUGCCGCCUGGGAAGUACGUACGCAAGUAUGAAACUUAAAGGAAUUGGCGGGGGAGCACCACAAGGGGUGAAGCCUGCGGUUCAAUUGGAUUCAACGCCGGA
rnacentral:rRNA from 1 species